rnacentral:rRNA from 1 species
AGUGAACGCUGGCGGUAGGCCUAACACAUGCAAGUCGAACGGCAGCACAGUAAGAGCUUGCUCUUACGGGUGGCGAGUGGCGGACGGGUGAGGAAUACAUCGGAAUCUACUUUUUCGUGGGGGAUAACGUAGGGAAACUUACGCUAAUACCGCAUACGACCUACGGGUGAAAGCAUGGGAUCUUCGGACCUUGCGCGAUUGAAUGAGCCGAUGACGGAUUAGCUAGUUGGCGGGGUAAAGGCCCACCAAGGCGACGAUCCGUAGCUGGUCUGAGAGGAUGAUCAGCCACACUGGAACUGAGACACGGUCCAGACUCCUACGGGAGGCAGCAGUGGGGAAUAUUGGACAAUGGGCGCAAGCCUGAUCCAGCCAUACCGCGUGGGUGAAGAAGGCCUUCGGGUUGUAAAGCCCUUUUGUUGGGAAAGAAAAGCAGCAGGUUAAUACCCCGCUGUUCUGACGGUACCCAAAGAAUAAGCACCGGCUAACUUCGUG